rnacentral:tRNA from 7 species
GCGGGUGUGGUUCAAUGGUAGAAUGUGGCCUUCCCAAGGCUGAGACGAGGGUUCGAUUCCCUUCACCCGCUCCA